GAUGAACGCUGGCGGCGUGCCUAACACAUGCAAGUCGAGCGGCAGCGAGGGGUGCUUGCACCCUGUCGGCGAGCGGCGGACGGCUGAGUAACGCGUGGGAACGUGCCCCAAAGUGAGGAAUAACUGCCCGAAAGGGUAGCUAAUACCGCAUAUUAUCUUCGGAUCAAAGGAUUUAUCCGCUUUGGGAGCGGCUCGCGUCGGAUUAGGUAGUUGGUGAGGUAAUGGCUCACCAAGCCGACGAUCCGUAGCUGGUCUGAGAGGAUGACCAGCCAGACUGGAACUGAGACACGGUCCAGACUCCUACGGGAGGCAGCAGUGAGGAAUCUUCCACAAUGGGCGAAAGCCUGAUGGAGCAACGCCGCGUGCAGGACGAAGGCCUUCGGGUUGUAAACUGCUUUUAUAAGUGAGGAAUAUGACGGUAACUGACGAAUAAGGAUCGGCUAACUACGUG
rnacentral:rRNA from 1 species